rnacentral:rRNA from 1 species
GACGAACGCUGGCGGCGUGCUUAACACAUGCAAGUCGAACGCUGAAGCUUGGGUGCUUGCAUCUGGGUGGAUGAGUGGCGAACGGGUGAGUAAUACGUGAGUAACCUGCCCUUGACUCUGGGAUAAGCCUGGGAAACUGGGUCUAAUACUGGAUACUACAUUCUCUCGCAUGGGGGUGUGUGGAAAGGGUUUUACUGGUUUUGGAUGGGCUCACGGCCUAUCAGCUUGUUGGUGGGGUAAUGGCCUACCAAGGCGACGACGGGUAGCCGGCCUGAGAGGGUGACCGGCCACACUGGGACUGGGACACGGCCCAGACUCCUACGGGAGGCAGCAGUGGGGAAUAUUGCACAAUGGGCGAAAGCCUGAUGCAGCGACGCCGCGUGAGGGAUGACGGCCUUCGGGUUGUAAACCUCUUUCAGCACGGAAGAAGCGAAAGUGACAGUACGUGCAGAGGAAGCGCCGGCUAACUACGUGCCAGCCGCCGCAGUAA